rnacentral:rRNA from 1 species
CUACGGGUCGCUGCAGUGGGGAAUAUUGGGCAAUGGGCGAAAGCCUGACCCAGCAACGCCGCGUGAAGGAAGAAGGCUUUCGGGUCGUAAACUUCUAUCCUAGGUGAAGAUAAUGACGGUAGCCUAGAAGGAAGCCCCGGCUAACUACGUGCCAGCAGCCGCGGUAAUACGUAGGGGGCAAGCGUUGUCCGGAAUGAUUGGGCGUAAAGGGCGCGUAGGCGGCCAUGUAAGUCCGAUGUGAAAGUCCUGCUUUUAAGGUGGGAAUUGCAUUGGAAACUGCGUGGCUUGAGUGCAGGAGAGGUAAGCGGAAUUCCCGGUGUAGCGGUGAAAUGCGUAGAGAUCGGGAGGAACACCAGUGGCGAAGGCGGCUUACUGGACUGUAACUGACGCUGAGGCGCGAAAGUGUGGGGAGCAAACAGGAUUAGAUACCCGCGAGUC